UAGAGUAUAGAAUAUAGUAUUAUUUUAUUUUCGUAUACGACAUGCAUAUUGUGUACAAUACUCUAC
rnacentral:tRNA from 1 species